CCCUAGUAGCGGCGAGCGAGCGGGAAGAGCUCAAAUUUAUAAUCUGGCACCUUCGGUGUCCGAGUUGUAAUCUCUAGAAGUGUUUUCCGCGUUGGACCGCACACAAGUCUGUUGGAAUACAGCGGCAUAGUGGUGAAACCCCCGUAUAUGGUGCGGACGCCCAGCGCUUUGUGAUACACUUUCAAUGAGUCGAGUUGUUUGGGAAUGCAGCUCAAAUUGGGUGGUAAAUUCCAUCUAAAGCUAAAUAUUGGCGAGAGACCGAUAGCGAACAAGUACCGUGAGGGAAAGAUGAAAAGCACUUUGGAAAGAGAGUUAACAGUACGUGAAAUUGUUGGAAGGGAAACGCUUGAAGUCAGACUUGCUUGCCGGAGCUUGCUUCGGUUUGCAGGCCAGCAUCAGUUUUCCGGGGUGGAUAAUGACGGUUUGAAGGUAGCAGUCUCGGCUGUGUUAUAGCUUUCCGUUGGAUACAUCCUGGGGGACUGAGGAACGCAGCGUGCUUUUUGCGAAAGACUCGUCUUUUUCACGCUUAGGAUGCUGGUGGAAUGGCUUUAAACGACCCGUCUUGAACCACGGACCA
rnacentral:rRNA from 1 species